rnacentral:rRNA from 1 species
GAUGAACGCUGGCGGCGUGCCUAAUACAUGCAAGUCGAGCGAACAGAUGAGGAGCUUGCUCCUCUGACGUUAGCGGCGGACGGGUGAGUAACACGUGGAUAACCUACCUAUAAGACUGGGAUAACUUCGGGAAACCGGAGCUAAUACCGGAUAAUAUAUUGAACCGCAUGGUUCAAUAGUGAAAGACGGUUUUGCUGUCACUUAUAGAUGGAUCCGCGCCGCAUUAGCUAUAUGGUAAGGUAACGGCUUACCAAGGCAACGAUCCGUAGCCGACCUGAGAGGGUGAUCGGCCACACUGGAACUGAGACACGGUCCAGACUCCUACGGGAGGCAGCAGUAGGGAAUCUUCCGCAAUGGGCGAAAGCCUGACGGAGCAACGCCGCGUGAGUGAUGAAGGUCUUCGGAUCGUAAAACUCUGUUAUUAGGGAAGAACAAAUGUGUAAGUAACUAUGCACGUCUUGACGGUACCUAAUCAGAAAGCCACGGCUAACUACGUG